CAGGAUGAACGCUAGCGAUAGGCCUAACACAUGCAAGUCGAGGGGCAGCACAUGAAGUAGCAAUACAGAUGGUGGCGACCGGCGCACGGGUGAGUAACACGUAUGCAACCUACCUUCCACAGGAGAAUAACCCGUUGAAAAACGGACUAAUACUCCAUAAUACAGGGGUCCCGCAUGGGAAUAUUUGUUAAAGAUUUUUUUCGGUAGAAGAUGGGCAUGCGUUCCAUUAGCUAGUUGGUUGAGGUAACGGCUCACCAAGGCAACGAUGGAUAGGGGAACUGAGAGGUUUAUCCCCCACACUGGUACUGAGACACGGACCAGACUCCUACGGGAGGCAGCAGUGAGGAAUAUUGGUCAAUGGAGGCAACUCUGAACCAGCCACGUCGCGUGAAGGAUGACGGCCCUACGGGUUGUAAACUUCUUUUAUACAGGAAUAAAGUGAGUCACGUGUGACUUUUUGCAUGUACUGUAUGAAUAAGGAUCGGCUAACUCCGUGCCAGCAGCCGCGGUAAUACGGAGGAUCCAAGCGUUAUCCGGAUUUAUUGGGUUUAAAGGGUGCGCAGGCGGAAGAUUAAGUCGGCGGUGAAAUUUUGCAGCUCAACUGUAAAAGUGCCAUCGAUACUGGUUUUCUUGAGUGUGGAUGAAGUAGGCGGAAUUUGUGGUGUAGCGGUGAAAUGCAUAGAUAUCACGAGGAACUCCGAUUGCGCAGGCAGCUUACUAGGCCAUAACUGACGCUCAGGCACGAAGGCGUGGGGAUCAAACAGGAUUAGAUACCCUGGUAGUCCACGCAGUAAACGAUGAUUACUCGCUGUUUGCGAUACACAGUAAGCGGCUUAGCGAAAGCGUUAAGUAAUCCACCUGGGGAGUACGUUCGCAAGAAUGAAACUCAAAGGAAUUGACGGGGGCCCGCACAAGCGGAGGAACAUGUGGUUUAAUUCGAUGAUACGCGAGGAACCUUACCCGGGUUUGAAAUUAUGUUGCAUAGUUUGGAAACAGGCUUUUCCUUAUAGGACCACAUACUAGGUGCUGCAUGGUUGUCGUCAGCUCGUGCCGUGAGGUGUCGGCUUAAGUGCCAUAACGAGCGCAACCCUCAUCAUUAGUUACCAUCAGGUUAAGCUGGGGACUCUAAUGAGACUGCCAUCGUAAGAUGUGAGGAAGGUGGGGAUGACGUCAAAUCAGCACGGCCCUUACGUCCGGGGCGACACACGUGUUACAAUGGAUGGUACAAAGGGCAGCUACAUGGCGACAUGAUGCUAAUCUCCAAAACCACUCUCAGUUCGGAUCGGAGUCUGCAACUCGACUCCGUGAAGCUGGAUUCGCUAGUA
rnacentral:rRNA from 1 species